rnacentral:rRNA from 1 species
GAGUUUGAUCCUGGUUCAGAGCGAACGCUGGCGGCAUGCUUAACACACGCAAGUCGCACGGGCAGUAGCAAUAUUGUCAGUGGCGGACGGGUGAGUAACGCGUAGGAAUCUAUCUUUGGAUGGGGGACAACCGUGGGAAACUACGGCUAAUACCGCAUGAUGCCUGAGGGCCAAAGUUUGAGAGAGCGUCUGAAGAGGAGCCUGCGUCUGAUUAGCUAGUUGGUGGGGUAAAGGCCUACCAAGGCUUCGAUCAGUAGCUGGUCUGAGAGGAUGAUCAGCCACAUUGGGACUGAGACACGGCCCAAACUCCUACGGGAGGCAGCAGUGGGGAAUAUUGGACAAUGGGCGCAAGCCUGAUCCAGCAAUGCCGCGUGGGUGAAGAAGGUUUUCGGAUUGUAAAGCCCUUUUGGCGGGGACGAUGAUGACGGUACCCGCAGAUAAGCUCCGGCUAACUUCGUGCCAGCAGCCGCGGUAAUACGAAGGGGGCUAGCGUUGCUCGGAAUGACUGGGCGUAAAGGGCGCGUAGGCGGACUGCACAGUCAGGCGUGAAAUUCCUGGGCUUAACCUG